CAAGAGUGGCGUCAGUGCCGGUCAGAUUGUGCGUGGUUACGGAAGUGUGAAGUGUCCGGGCAUUGUGGUGUCCCGAUGCUGCCCUUAGUGUGACAGUGACAGGUGUGUUCCAACUCAUAAGUGUCAUGAAGACACUCGGCCGCUGCUGAAUAGACGCUCCAAGCAACCAGGGAGGGACAGGAGACUGCCACUGAAGUGUUGCGUUGUGAAGGGGAGUGUUGCGGCGGGGGAUGCAGGCAAGAGAUGUCCCUCGCCAUUGAAGAGCUUAAUUGAUGCGUUUCUCUCCUGACCGAGGGACGAGGGAACACUGCUGGCCGGGGAAGGUGUGGAAUCUGCUAAUUAAGAGAACACGGACAGGUGAAGCGGGGGAGUGCUUCGCUCCUCACGCACACAGGUCGCCCUAAGCGUGUUGCGGCGGUGAUAGCAUCGGUGACACGUCUUCCUCCCCUCCCCAUCUCGAGGCCACGCAGGGAAAAAGCAUGGGACUGAAGGCGGAGGUGUCGCGGGGCGGAGGGACGAGGAGGGACGAGGACCCGGACGAGGAGUGGAGUCGUGGGGUUCUGCUUCCUCCCGCCCCGCCGGACGACACGACUCCUGUGUUCGUGGCGUGUCGCUGGGCAGUUACGUCGCGGCGCUAAGUGAUAGACUCGCCGUGUCCCCGGGGGAGUGUGAGGCGGACACGGGCGGGCGGUGUUCCUGUGUCCCACAUGUCGCCCUCCAUCCUGCGCCGCCCUCCUGCCAGCUCUUCAUCAUAGCUCGCCUCUCAGCCUUCUUUGGCCUCCCACGUUUCAUAGCCCAACAUUCUCUUUCUCUAUUUUUUUUUUCUCUCUCUCU